rnacentral:rRNA from 1 species
GCGACCCCCGGUCAGGCGGGACUA